AGUGGCGGACGGGUGAGUAACGCGUGGGCAACCUGCCUUACACAGGGGGACAACAGCUGGAAACGGCUGCUAAUACCGCAUAUGCGCACAGGGCCGCAUGGCCUGGUGCGGAAAACUCCGGUGGUGUAAGAUGGGCCCGCGUCUGAUUAGGUAGUUGGCGGGGUAACGGCCCACCAAGCCGACGAUCAGUAGCCGGCCUGAGAGGGUGGACGGCCACAUUGGGACUGAGACACGGCCCAAACUCCUACGGGAGGCAGCAG
rnacentral:rRNA from 1 species